rnacentral:rRNA from 1 species
AGUGAACGCUGGCGGUAGGCCUAACACAUGCAAGUCGAACGGCAGCACAGUAAGAGCUUGCUCUUACGGGUGGCGAGUGGCGGACGGGUGAGGAAUACAUCGGAAUCUACUUUUUCGUGGGGGAUAACGUAGGGAAACUUACGCUAAUACCGCAUACGACCUACGGGUGAACGCAGGGGAUCUUCGGACCUUGCGCGAUUGAAUGAGCCGAUGUCGGAUUAGCUAGUUGGCGGGGGAAAGGCCCACCAAGGCGACGAUCCGUAGCUGGUCUGAGAGGAUGAUCAGCCACACUGGAACUGAGAUACGGUCCAGACUACUACGGGAGGCAGCAGUGGGGAAUAUUGGACAAUGGGCGCAAGCCUGAUCCAGCCAUACCGCGUGGGUGAAGAAGGCCUUCGGGUUGUAAAGCCCUUUUGUUGGGAAAGAAAAGCAGCAGGUUAAUACCCCGCUGUUCUGACGGUACCCAAAGAAUAAGCACCGGCUAACUUCGUG